rnacentral:rRNA from 1 species
UACGUAGGGACCAAGCGUUGUCCGGAAUCAUUGGGCGUAAAGGGUGCGUAGGUGGUCGUUUAAGUCCGUUGUGAAAUCCCUGGGCUCAACCUGGGAAUGGCAGUGGAUACUGGACGGCUAGAAUGCGGUAGAGGGUAGUGGAAUUCCCGGUGUAGCAGUGAAAUGCGUAGAGAUCGGGAGGAACACCAGUGGCGAAGGCGGCUACCUGGACCAGCAUUGACACUCAAGCACGAAAGCGUGGGGAGCAAACAGG